GGUAGAAGUGUGAUUAAGGGGCAUAUAUAAAAGAAAAGUGGUGAGUUCAACAAGGAAUUGUGGUACUUCAGAUAAUAACUAUGCUUGUAAGGUAUGGGUUCGAAGUGGAUUAAAAUAAUAAUAAUUAAGAAAAAGGAAAAUGUGAGCCUAUAAAUAUGUAACCGAUGUUCUACAAAAACCAAAGUUAAAAGAAACAUAGUUUUUAGUUUGCAAAAAGAGUAGACAUUAAUCCAUCUUUAACUCAAAGAAGAAUUCUAGAAAAGAG
rnacentral:lncRNA from 1 species